CGGUUGCCUGAUGGCUAAACGAACGUGGGUUGAAGAACGAACAAGGAGCGCUGAUUUUGAGAGCGCGCGCACGACAUCAUGUUUCUCGUCAUCGCGCACGGCGACGUCGCGACUCCACUUGCUUUGAUGCACGGUGGAGGACGCGGGACGGCCUAGCGAUGCACGGGAUCGCAUGCGUACGGCGCGUGAGCGGUGAUUCGGUAGUUUGGGUUGGCAGGGUCGUUGCUCGGCAUCGAACUGUCGGCGCCUGCUCCUCCUCGUCGAUGUGCCCCGAACGAAGUCCUUCGUUGGAGCGGCCGCAAUCGAUCGGUUCUUGCAUCGUUACCAAGCGCGAUGGAGCGUCGUGUCCCGAGAUCAGAAGAGCA